AUACCUACGGGAGGCAGCAGUGAGGAAUAUUGGUCAAUGGGAGAGAUCCUGAACCAGCCAAGCCGCGUGAGGGAAGACGGCCCUAUGGGUUGUAAACCUCUUUUGUCGGAGAACAAAACCCGGGACGUGUCCCGGACUGCGUGUAUCCGAAGAAAAAGCAUCGGCUAACUCCGUGCCAGCAGCCGCGGUAAUACGGAGGAUGCGAGCGUUAUCCGGAUUUAUUGGGUUUAAAGGGUGCGUAGGCGGCCUUUUAAGUCAGCGGUGAAAGUCUGUGGCUCAACCAUAGAAUUGCCGUUGAAACUGGG
rnacentral:rRNA from 1 species